GACGAACGCUGGCGGCGUGCCUAAUACAUGCAAGUCGAACGCAGUGGGGACGGGUGAGUAACACGUGGGUAACCUCCCAUCAGAGGGGAUAACACUUGGAAACAGGUGCUAAACCGAUCCUGAGGGAUGGAACCGCGGUGCAUUAGCUAGUUGGUGAGGUAACGGCUCACCAAGGCCACGAUGCGUAGCCGACCGGAGGGGGUGAUCGGCCACCCUGGAACUGAGGAACGGCCACGACUCCUCCGGGAGGCGGCAGUAGGGAAUCUUCAGCAAUGGACGAAAGUCUGACCGAGCAGCGCCGCGUGAGUGAAGAAGGUUUUCGGAUCGUAAAGCUCUGUUGUUAGAGAAGCGGUAUCUAACCAGAAAGCCACGGCUAACUACGGGCCAGCAGCCGCGGUAAUUC
rnacentral:rRNA from 1 species